GGCUUAGAUACCCUGGUAGUCCACGCUGUAAACGGUGGGUACUAGGUGUGGGGUCCAUUCCACGGGUUCCGUGCCGUAGCUAACGCUUUAAGUACCCCGCCUGGGGAGUACGGCCGCAAGGCUAAAACUCAAAGGAAUUGACGGGGCCCCGCACAAGCGGCGGAGCAUGCGGAUUAAUUCGAUGCAACGCGUAGAACCUUACCUGGGUUUGACAUGGAUCGGGAGUGCUCAGAGAUGGGUGUGCCUCUUUUGGGGUCGGUUCACAGGUGGUGCAUGGCUGUCGUCAGCUCGUGUCGUGAGAUGUUGGGUUAAGUCCCGCAACGAGCGCAACCCUUGUUCACUGUUGCCAGCACGUUAUGGUGGGGACUCAGUGGAGACCGCCGGGGUCAACUCGGAGGAAGGUGGGGAUGACGUCAAGUCAUCAUGCCCCUUAUGUCCAGGGCUUCACGCAUGCUACAAUGGCUGGUACAGAGAGUGGCGAGCCUGUGAGGGUGAGCGAAUCUCGGAAAGCCGGUCUCAGUUCGGAUUGGGGUCUGCAACUCGACCUCAUGAAGUCGGAGUCGCUAGUAAUCGCAGAUCAGCAACGCUGCGGUGAAUACGUUCCCGGGGCUUGUACACACCGCCCGUCAAGUCAUGAAAGUUGGUAACACCCGAAGCCGGUGGCCUAACCGUUGUGGGGGAGCCGUCGAAGGUGGGACUGGUGAUUAGGACU
rnacentral:rRNA from 1 species